rfam:Myotis brandtii contig242048, whole genome shotgun sequence.
ACCAACAUGGCUCAGUGGUUGAGCGUCAACCUAUAAAGGAGGUCAGGGUUCAAUUCCCUGUCAGGGCA